rnacentral:rRNA from 1 species
UACAGAGGUGGCAAGCGUUGUUCGGAAUUACUGGGCGUAAAGGGCGCGUAGGCGGCCAUCUAAGUCAGACGUGAAAUCCCCCGGCUUAACCUGGGAACUGCGUCUGAUACUGGAAGGCUUGAGUAUGGGAGAGGGAUGUAGAAUUCCAGGUGUAGCGGUGAAAUGCGUAGAUAUCUGGAGGAAUACCGGUGGCGAAGGCAGCCCCCUGGGUUAACACUGACGCUCAUGCACGAAAGCGUGGGGAGCAAACAGG